UACGUAGGGGGCAAGCGUUGUCCGGAAUUAUUGGGCGUAAAGCGCGCGCAGGCGGUUCCUUAAGUCUGAUGUGAAAGCCCACGGCUCAACCGUGGAGGGUCAUUGGAAACUGGGGAACUUGAGGACAGAAGAGGAGAGUGGAAUUCCACGUGUAGCGGUGAAAUGCGUAGAUAUGUGGAGGAACACCAGUGGCGAAGGCGACUCUCUGGUCUGUUUCUGACGCUGAGGUGCGAAAGCGUGGGUAGCAAACAGG
rnacentral:rRNA from 2 species